rnacentral:rRNA from 1 species
UAUCUCUGUAGAGUCUGCAUAUCAAUAAGCGGAGGAAAAGAAACUAACAAGGAUUCCCUUAGUAACGGCGAGUGAAGCGGGAAGAGCUCAAAUUUGAAAUCUUCAAGGUUUUACCUUGACGAAUUGUAGUUUAAAGAAGUGUUUUCUGUUGUAGUUUCGGUAAAAGUUCUUUGGAAUAGGACAUCAUAGAGGGUGAGAAUCCCGUAUUUGACCGUUAUUUUCAGCUGUGUGAUACACUUUCAAAGAGUCGGAUUGUUUGGGAAUGCAGUCCAAAAUGGGUGGUAAAUUUCAUCUAAAGCUAAAUAUUGGCGAGAGACCGAUAGCGAACAAGUACCGUGAGGGAAAGAUGAAAAGAACUUUGAAAAGAGAGUUAAACAGUACGUGAAAUUGUCAAAAGGGAAGCGUUUGACACCAGUGUUGUUUUCUCGAAAAUCAAUUAAAAAAGGCAGGAUUUUGUGUUGUAUUGACUUUAUCAGCUUUCUGCACUCUUUUCUUGUCUUUUUUAAUGCACUUUUCGUUUAACAAGUCAACAUCAAUUUCUUUUGUUGUAAAAGGGUCAUUGGAAGGUGGCUUUCUUUUCGGAGAAAGUGUUUAUAGCCUUUGGCCUCUGCAAUCGGAGAGAUUGAGGUCUGCAGCGUAGAUCCUUCGGGGUUAGAUACAUUCGUGCUAAGUUAUAGCCUUUCAUAGACAACUUGUUGACUAUGAUCAGUCAUGUAGCUUACUCGCUUAUGCUAUUUUACCUACGCUUAGGAUGUUGAGUCAUCACACAUCUCU